UUUUGAGACAGAGUCUCCCUCUGUCGCACAGGCUGGAGUACAGUGGUGUGAUCUCAGCUCACUGCAACCUCCCCCUCCCGGGUUCAAGCAAUUCUCCUGCCUCAGCCUCCCGAGUAGCUGGGAUUACAGGUGCAUGCCACCAUGCCCGGCUAAUUUUUGUUUUCUUAGUAGAGUCGGGGUUUCACCAUGUUGGCUGGGCUGGUCUUCAGCUCCUGACCUCAAGUGAUCCACCCGCCGCGGCCUCCCAAAGUGCUGGGAUUACAGGUCUGAGCCAUCGUGCCCAGCCAAGCCUGCUCUUUUUCAGGUGGCCAAGGCAAUUUUCAAACGUGAUGUGAUUUCUCUUAUUUUUUACAAACAUACAAACCUUGCCUAUAUGGAAUUAGUGUCUAUAUUUCAGAAAAAUUAAGUUUCUUGUAAAGUGAUUUUACUUACCAGGUGGUCAUUUAUGCAUAAAUUUACAUCUUUUCAUAUAAUAAUUAUGUAGUUUCCUAGAGCCAAUUUAAUUUCUCUUAAAAUAAUUUAUUUUGAGAUGACCAUUAUCUGAUUUCAUAUGUGGAAAUUCAUAGAAUGCAGAAAUUCCAAACCUGAAUUUCCUAAAUAUUUUUCAUAAGACCUUCUAUAUAAAUGAUUCUGACCCAUUUAGGGAA
rnacentral:lncRNA from 10 species